UCAUCGAGCUUGCUGUCGUCCAUAGCCGCCGCCGUUGUGCUCCAGCUCGUUGCCACCAUCGCGGACCGUCGCUGCCACCGCGCCAUUCAUCGCCGUCGCAAGGAAGACCAGGACCGAGGGAGAGAGCCGCGCGAGGAGUCGCCGUCGCCGCCGUUCGCGAGAGAGAGAGAGACGCGCUGCGCGGGAGUUGCCGUCGUGGGGUGUGUUGCCGUUGAGAAGCUGUCGCCGCCAGAUCCGCCGUUGUCAGAGCUUCUGUCCGAGUCCUGCCGCCGGAGAACACCUCUGCCGCCGUCGCCGUUGCCGGAGUUCUGGUCGUCGCCGCCGUUCGAGGUGGCUGCCGGAGCUGCCGCCAAACCGGUUCAGCGACCGCCGCUGUUUCAUUUUCUUAGUUCGGGUUGUGUUUUGAGCAUUGCAUGUUGCUUUUAAGUUGCUGUGAGUGCUGCAAAAGUGAUCAGGGACAGAGUUUGCGGUUGCUGUUGGUUUCGGGUUAAGAGAAAUGGUUUCGUUGACGCAUUUUAAGUUAUGGUUUCGACGAGUCGAGCUUUAUCUUUUCAGGAACCGGAUGAAGAAGCGUUAAGAAGAGUUAUACUGCGUUUGGUUGAUAUGUUGUUGUACUAAUUAGAUUAUUUUAUUCCCUCGUCUUUGUUAUUACAAAUUUGUAAGAGGGAUAGGAAUUGUAUGUUUUAUAUGUAUAUUAUAUUAUGAGUUAUUAUGUAAGGAGUCUUGUAUAUGAAUCUAUGCCUGUUUGUACUUUUAUUAAGAUAAAGUGUUUAUUUUCGGUUUUCAAG